CGCGACCCCGGGUCAGGCGGGACUACCCGCUGAGUUUAAGCAUAUCAAUAA
rnacentral:rRNA from 1 species